CAGUCCUGAAGAGCGUCCCCUUCACAGCCAGGACAGCCAAGCGAGGCUCUCGCUUCUUCUGUGACACAUCCCUAUUUGAGGAUUCAAACUGUUAAGCCCAAUAUCUUUUAAAACUAUGGAAAGGUACAUGGAUUCUUGCAAUGCAUGCACUGACUCUCCUCACAGCUGUAGCAAGGUUUCUCAUGUAGAACGCUAGAGUGCAUGCUCUUAUUCAUUGGAGAGGUCUGCCCCUUAAUUCAUCCCUAUAUUUACCCUGUAAUUACUAAUACUUUCACUGUGUCUGACUGCAUGACACACGUUUUAUAUAGAUGUAAUGAUUUUAGAUUCAUUGAGGCAUGCACAAAUAAACUCCAGGUGAGAUGGCCUAUAAGAAAUUCCCAUUUGCACCCAACUAAAUUAUUUCAGAACCAAAUAAUUCCUAGGGAUGCAAAGAAGUAUUAACUGUUUAUGGAGAACAUGUUUCACGAAAUUGCAAUUUUGCUCCAUUUGGUAGCCCAGGCUCUUUAUUAAAUUUUUUUUUCCCUUUGGUGAUAAUAUGGUCUAAACUUGAGCUGCCAUGUUCUACAAAUGGGUGCCAGGAGCCAUCUUACCUGUUUAAUUGUGUGCGUCUCUAUGGAUUAUCUUCCAGCAUCUCUGUCAUUUAACUAGUUAACUGCUGGAGAGUGCAUGACAUGUCGGAAUGCAAAGCAUGACCAUAUUCAAUCUUCCUUUCAUAGUAAAUUGUAAUAGGUUCUGUGGAUUCUGGGACACAAAUACAGGAUACAUGCAGAUUAUGCUUUGUCAUCACGCAUAUAUAGACUUUGAAUGAGGACCUAGGUCGUCUUAAAAUCUGUUCCUAUGUGUGUUAUAUGUACAUUUUCAUUUUAUCUCUCAGAUUAGCACCCAAGAAGAGUCAUCUCUAGUUUCCCAUCCCUUGCAGAGGGUAAGACACUGCCCAGGAACAGCUGUUAAAUGCACCCAGAGCUUGGCUAAUGCAGUCUUUGCUGCUUGUGCUUAAAAAGAGGUCUUUCUCUUUUAUAACAAGCCUCUGCUUACAUCAUUAAAUACAGAGAUUAGGCCAUACACAGAUCUUGUGGAACAACAGCAAAGGGUCUUCCUGUACUGCUUUUGCACUUAUUUGCUGCGAUGAUUUGUGUAGCAUAAUAAUUGGUUAUGUACCACAGUUUGAAAAUCUUGAAAUAGUAACUUCUAGAUUCACUUGGAAAAUAUAAGCAAGGUCUGAGGUUUUUAGCCCAGGGCUGGCUAACCUCUACCCUCCAACUGUCCUUGGGCAAGUCCACAUAUGGUUUUAUAUGGCUGUAGGGCAAGGUGUGGACACAGUGAACAACCUAAGUGUAUUUGAUAAGGUGUCCCUUUUAAAAAAGAUUUAGCAGUGCCCUCAUUUAGCCUUCCCUUAUUACAAAAACUUUUUCUGACUAGCCUCGACUUCAGUGUAGUACACGGCUCAGCCAAUUAAAUAUUCGUGUGAGCUGAGCUGCUGACUUAACCCUGUAUUUACCCCUGUAUUUUACCCAUUGAGCCGUUCUUGAAUGGUUUAACCCCAAGCGUUGCUUCCAGCACUGGUUAUCCAGUUCCCACAGCCUGGCAUCCCGCUUUUGAAAUUGAGUUUCAGGAAGCACAGAGUACUGCUGGACAGGGUCGCCACUGAUUGGCUUGAGCAGUCAGCUUUUGCUCUGAGCCGAAUAGUAGCUCCCCCAUUCUUUAAAAAAGCAAUGUACCAGUUUAAUCUCUUCAGGUAAGAAAGUGCUCAGCUUGACUGUAGUGUUCUUUUACAUUUCAGAAAUAUUAAUAUUAAUAAUAAUAAUAAUUUUAAUAUCCCUUCUAUCUGUAUAGCAGGACAUAAAAAGUACAGCCCUGUAAUGGUGCAGGAGAAAAGGCAUUUAGUUAAUCAAUCAAGAACAAUCACAUAAAUUCCACCUACUGCUUAGCAAAAUUUCCAUGUACUGCCCAUGUAAUCAUAAAGAUGCAUGUGCAAGAAAACCAUGUGGAUUUGGCUAGUUACACCUGCCCACUUACAUCCUAUGAGGGAGAUUGUAUAGUCUUUUCACACCCAGUGCUAGAAUAUAAUGUAAAAAAACCCAAAACAAACAACAAGGACUGGGCACUGGCAUAAAGUCCAGGGCAGGUUUAAUGGAUGAAAACAAUGUUUGUGCUCUGUGUGAGCCUUUAUCAAGCUAAUAGAACGUGUCCUGGUUCACACAAGCUCUCAAUGGUAAAAGGUUCCUGGUAAGAUUUGUACAUCGAUUUCUAGCCAAUCAUAAAUACACUUGCUGCUUCUGUCGCAUUGCUUUCCAUUGCCAGUGCUUCUACUUCUUUCACUAAAACAUUUUGAUUUAUUAUUUCAGACCUCCGCAAGCAGCCCUUCAGGCGUGCAGAUGCAGUACUCCGGAAUGCCUGGCGACGCAUCUAGUGCCUUCAUGGCAUGGCGCCCUAUGGAACUUUUCUGUGUUUCGUCAUUGCCACAUUUUGGCUGUUACCAUUAGGAUGGACUGAGUGGAUCUCAUCACAGACAUCAUUCCACAGCACGUUUCAAGGGAAUUGAACAUGCCAGGACACUUCAAAAGUGCCUUAAAGCUACAGUAUUACAGAACUAUUUUUAAUUUCUUUUAUUAUUUAUAUAUUUUUUUACCAUUUUACUGUAAAUAUUUUUUGUAAUGUUCUCUCGACCAAUCAUUUUUGGCCUCUGUGGAGGUACUGUUGGUUGCGAAAAUUGAAGAGGAAAAAAAAGGAAGUGCCUUGUAAGUGUUUAUAAAGUUUGUUGUUUUUUUAUGUAGUUGGAUAGUCAGAACUCUAAUAUAGUCUAAGGUCAAUACUUUCCAUUAUGGAAAGUGCUGAUAAUGCAAGUGAAACUUUUUCAGCAGACCUGUCUGCCACUGAAAGAGUUAACAUAGUGAGACCUGUUUCUCUGUAUCUCUUAAAUUAAACAUUGUCGAGUGUUGACAGGGAAGAGAUGGGUCCAGAGAGAUUAAGCCAUAUACUAUGGAAGUAAGGUGAUUGCACGAUAUGUGCCGGUACUUAGCUGUACCAGAUGUGACAAGUGUAAACUCACGUGCAUUUUUUUUUUAAAAGGACUUUGAAACAUUGUACAUAAGGCUGUGAUUUAGUAGCGUAUAGCCACAAUGUCCCAUCCUUUGUAUAUCAGUAUUUUGCAAUGAAUCUGGCAAGCCCAUUUUGGCCAUCUGUGACUGAUAUUCAUUCUAGUUAUGGGCAUGUAAAACAUGGAGCGCUUUGCAUGUACAGUUUUCUAGGGCUGUAUGGCACAGUGCAUUUAAGAAGUCUAUUUUUGACUGGCUGGCAGUUUGAACUCUAAGGAGAUCUACAUUUCUCUGCAGUGAAAGGUUUAAACCUUUUGUCUUAACCUUUUAUCCUGUCUAUCAGUACAGUCAUUGUUAUAUGCAGAGUUGGUCUCGGUAUAGCAGCCCGGAGUUUAGUAGAAUAGUUUGACCUAAUGUGCAAUAUCACUUAGUAUAUUGAGCCAACGCUUGUCAAGAAUGCUGCCACUUUUACACUCCUUUAAAACGUUUUCAUGUUGGUAAUUUAUUUAUUUCAAAACAAGUGUGUGUAUAUAUAUAUAUAUAUAUCAAGGAUGGCUAAUUAAUGACCAGUUCCAUCUGAAGCAGCAAUUACAAAAAGCUUCAGUGUUUUUAGAGUUAUUGCUCCUUGAGCAGACAUUCCAGUUAGACACACAACUUACCCACUCCCAGUUAGUAUGACCCAUGCAAUCUGUGCACAUGCUUCCAGUGAAAACAGGAUCUCAUAUUUUACUCUUUCACCAGAAGUCUAUAUUACUACUCAUUUCAGAUCUCUGUUGACUAAUAAAGUGCCAAAUAAGACCAAAUUCUGCAGUACCUUCCCUUACCAAUCCAUAUUGGUAAUAACUAGCAAAUGUUACCAGAAACCCCAGAUCUGUGGUGUGAUUUGUAAGACUGUGUAUGUCAAAUUGACCUGCACCUUUGUUUUUUCUUCUUGUUAAAUGAGUUGUAAUAUUUAACUUAAGACGUGGACAGAUUUACUCCUCACUACAGGAAACCAGCUUAGGACUGGCAGUAAUUAGGUGUGCUGUUCAUACAGUUUUUUAUGCUUUUUUAUUUUUUUAAACAAAUAUGGAGACAAAGGGUGAGCACCCCUGUUACCAGCCAGGUGACCUUAUUUAUGAGUAUAAGUUGCAAGCCUUCUCAGCUUGUAAUUUUCACCCCAGUGCCUUUACUACUUGUGAAUAUGACCUCACUCCUUGUUCUUACUUUAAAAUGAGACCAAAACACAAUGCAACUACGGAUUACCAUUUGUAUUCUUGUAUGCAAUGCAAAUAAUUACCUGUGCUUUCAUUUAUUUACUUUCCCCUAAACCAGUCCAUCUAUCAUGUGCAUCCAUGCACCUUAUUCACUAUUCGUUUAAAAAAUACACUACAAUAUCAUCCAUUUAGUUGGGUAAAAUCUUUGAUUCCAGCAGCAGUUCCCCUAUACUGGCCUUUUGGAUUUUUAAAAGUCAACUUUGUUUUUAUUUGUAAUAAUUUUAUGUCUCUGUAUUUUUUUUUAAUCGCUUGUAUUUAACAGACAUUCAUCUGGCCAAACUGCUGCAAACCCUGACAUUGUUACUUAUUAUGGUUAAGCAACAUGUCAGGCUGGCACAAGAUGCCACAUAUUGUGGACACAGUAUUAAUGGCUUUAUUGUUUGACACAGAAUCAGAUGUCUGUCUCUUGGGAAUGCUUCAUUUUUUUAACUUUUUUGAAUUUAUCUAUUCCAUUUUAUCAGCCAGUUUAACGUGUAAUUAUUCCAUUGUAUCAUUCAUGUAUGAAACAAUAACUUGUGCAUGUAAAACACAUUCCUACCCUCCAGCAAUGCCACGGUAAACUCACUGCACAUCCUAUUUGCACCGCGGUGACUUGUAUUAUCGCUGGCAUUGAAGGCGGUAACGUGCCUUUUCUCAGUGUAUUAAUCUUGUACAGUAUAUUAUUUUUUAAUCGAAAGAAGCCAGUACUUGUUUGCUACAGGCAUGCUUUCAGAUUGUCAGAUUUCAGGAAAGAAAAAAAAGCUUUCGGCUCUGAAACUUUUCAUGUUUUUGUAACAAUAAACUUGGAAGGAGCUUAUGGUGCUGUCCGAGUGUCCUUUUGUCUCUUUUCCGGGAUGGCUUGCGGAAGUGGGAUUUUU